GGAUCUGGAACCCCGAGGUGCGCACAGCGCUGGGAUGCCAGCCUCGAAGCGGAGGAUCCCUGUGUCCCAGCCGGGCAUGGCCGACCCCCACCAGCUUUUCGAUGAUACAAGUUCAGCCCAGAGCCGGGGCUUUGGGGCCCAGCGGGCACCUGGUGGCCUAGGCUAUCCAGCAGCCUCUCCCACGCCCCAGGCAGCCUUCCUGGCUGACCCGGUGUCCAACAUGGCCAUGGCCUAUGGGAGCAGCCUGGCCGCGCAGGGCAAGGAGCUGGUGGAUAAGAACGUGAGUGGCGGGGGCUGGUGGGAGUGGGGGGAUGCACGGGGCCACAGGGCUUCAGACUUGAGCUCUGCCUCCCCAGAUCGACCGCUUCAUCCCUAUCACCAAGCUCAAGUAUUACUUUGCUGUGGACACCAUAUAUGUGGGCAGAAAGCUGGGCCUGCUGUUCUUCCCCUACCUACACCAGGACUGGGAGGUGCAGUACCAACAGGACACCCCGGUGGCCCCCCGCUUUGACGUCAAUGCCCCGGACCUCUACAUUCCAGCAAUGGCUUUCAUCACCUAUGUUUUGGUGGCUGGUCUUG
rnacentral:sRNA from 1 species